CAAAACGUAAACAUAAACGGAGAGGCGUCACAUGCUACUUUGCGGGAACCUAGAGUGAUUUCCUUGAAUUUAUAAGAGGAUAAAGCUGAAUGAUGUUACAAUAAACAUUCCAGAGGGAGUCACCCACCCGGUGCAUAAUUAGAGACCCAGGAGGCUGAGUAAGAUAGAUGACUGCAGUGUGUGUCAGUGGAGUUGGAGGGGGUCGUGCCAUUCCAGCGGCUGCUGGUUAAAUGCAGGUGGCUGGGUGUGCUCGUCAGCUUUUAUCUUGGCUUUGAACACAGGUUUUUUGCUGAAGUAGAUGAAAACGGUUCCAAGUACAACAUGUUUGAACCGUUAGAAGCAGAAGAUAAAGAGGGAUUUUAACUUUCAAAUCCUUAUGGAGUCCAAAUCAAUAAAAGAAUGGCUUUCACUGAAAUAAAUUAAAAGUUUUGGAAUGGCCUAUCCAAAGUAGAAACCUAAAUCCAAUGUGCAAGGAGGACUAUUGACAAGAAACAUGUUCAUGGUCUGAUCGACUUAAAAAAUUUUGGAACGGCAAAGUAGCUAAAUAUUUCCAAGUCAAGAUGUCGGAUGCUGAUAGACAAAUCCAGAAAUUUAAUUUAAAGCUGGUUUAACAAAGUUAUCAGUUUAACUUUGUGCAUAUCUAUAUCAUCGGACUGGUUUUGAUUUUUUAAAUUUGCCUUCAUGAUAAUCUUUUUGAUUUUCUCCAUAAAAAUGUUAUACUUAACAGAGGUUUGUAAACUUUGUCCAUCCAUUGUCAUCUGAAAUGGAUGGACAAACCUCAAGUAUGUUUAAGUUCUGGUCCAAAUGUGUCAUAAACCACGCCCCCUUUUUAUCCUCAUUGAUUGGUUAGUCUGUGUUUGAUUGCAAACUGUUUGAAAAAUGAUUCAUAAUGAAGUCUAACCACCACAUGCUCUUUGCUUUCCAUCUUAAUAUAUGUACUUUUUUAAGUUUGCCAAUGAAUUGUUAGUUUUUUGUGCUCUAUAAUGCUGAAAACAUAACUGGAAGGAGACAAUAA